rnacentral:lncRNA from 1 species
GUUCAAAAUCCCUCAGCAACUAACAACUUUUCAUUUAAGAAGGCAUUUUUCAUUAUAGUAGGUUUGUUUCCGAGUUCCUCCCUGGCUAUCUUUUUAUUGAUUUUUGCCUCCCUUUGGUAGUUUAUUCAUUGGCCUUUUUGUUUCUUCUUUCCUUCUUCCUUUUCUUAGGCUCAUUGGUCUCUUAAUCUUAGGAUGGGUGGUUCCGAAAAAAUGGUAGUGGUCUGGUCUCCCGAUCCUUCU